AUCCAUCUGACGGGUCCCAAACAGGACGAAACGCGCGUCCUGGAU
rnacentral:hammerhead_ribozyme from 1 species